rnacentral:lncRNA from 1 species
AUAUAUAUAUAUAUAUAUACUUUUUCAUAAAUGUUACGUUUUGUAAAUUUUAAAAAAUUAAUUAAAUUGUAAAUUAUAAAAUAUAAAAAAUAAAAUAGCGAAAAGUAAGAAUUGAUAACAUUUUAAAAAUAUAAAAUUAAAUGUUCAAGUGGCAAAGCACGUAUUUGUAUGCAUGUAUACAUGUACAUAUAAUCUUACUGCAUCUUUUUUUUGUAGUAUUUAAAUUUUUUUUUUUUUUUUAUUAUAUGUUCUAUAGUGGUACUAUCAACAAGAAGAAAAAAAAAACCUCGCAAUACUAUAAAUUCUAAAUUUUUAAAAAUUAGGAAAAGAAAAAGAGACGUUGAUGAAAUAUACAAUGACUACCAUGAAAAAGGAGCUCCUAAACAUGAUGAGGAUGAACAGUGCGGUGCACUAAUUAAAUGCUAUGCUUGUGAUAUCAUUUUUAUAAGUGAAAAAGCAAAGGAGCAGCAUCAGAAGACGAAAAAACAUAAGAGACGAGUCAAGAUGUUAACUAAAGAAACACCAUAUACCUAUAAAGAUGCCCUUAAAGCUGCAGAAAUAACACUUUAGUCUAUGCAUAUGCAUGCGCAUACACAUACAUAUACACAUGAGUGUUGAUAAUACGUUAUGUACAUAUGUAUACAUACACGCACAUAUAUAUAAGUUUAUAAAAAUAGCACUUUUUUUUUUUUUUAAACAUUUGUUAAAGAAACAAGUUUUGUUAGUUUUAAAAAUAAAUACAAAUUAUAUAUAGUGUCA